UACAGAGGUCCCAAGCGUUGUUCGGAUUCAUUGGACGUAAAGGGUGCGUGGGCGGCGCGGUAAGUCGGGUGUGAAAUCUCGGGGCUUAACUCCGAAACUGCAUUCGAUACUGCCGUGCUUGAGGACUGGAGAGGAGACUGGAAUUUACGGUGUAGCGGUGAAAUGCGUAGAUAUCGUAAGGAAGACCAGUGGCGAAGGCGGGUCUCUGGACAGUUCCUGACGCUGAGGCACGAAGGCCAGGGGAGCAAACGGG
rnacentral:rRNA from 1 species